GAUGGAGCAAGAAGGUGGGGGGUGGAAGGCGAGAGAAAGAGCAAGAAACGGCUCGUCGAGAAUGACGAACAGAAGAGAAUGGAUUGGAAGUAACCGCGAACGCGAGGAGAACUCUCGCGACGACCGACACGCUUCGUUUCGUGGUCCGACCAACUGAUCGCCAACCGACGCCACUUCUAUUCGACACAGGGGACCACAGUUAACACCGAUAACGAGUUACAGGUAGGCGCGUAUUUACUUAUGACGCAUCGCCGUAUCAGCGAUCAGCUACUCAGUGACUCUCAACAUGACCAACUCGGAUAAUUUUCAGGCUUUCACUGCACGCCUGAAUCGCCUGCAUAGCUGUUCGCGUUAUUUCAUUUACUACAGAUACAUUUUAAGGUUAUUUCGCUCGAAUAUUGCCAACUGCCAUCUUGGCGAAACGUUGGAAUUUUUUUCCUUCUGGACACGAUUUUUUGCCGCAUAUCUCGAGCGGAGUUUAAACGAGCCACGUGUUACAGCACUUUUUAUAGCGUUGUUCUCCGAGGUUAUACUCGCCAUAUAUUUGUUUGUUUAUGUAUUUAGUUACUCGCCCAACGAUGCGAGUCGCGCAGAUCUGAUAUCAUCUAUACAGUCACGCCACAAAUUCAUCGAGAUAGUUUAAAAAACUGCCGGCGAUACUUGUUUGGGUAUUAGCUCUAUUUUCGCGGGAAUCUUCGUGAUUUUAUGUAUUGAAAUGUCUCGCAACGAAUGCAAAGAGCUUCGCCUCGUCGAGAGAUACGUUCGGUCAUAAUGCGUCGACGUGCAGCCGUACAAGAUAAUCUGUUGUCAAUGGCAUUUGUUAAAACGUUUCUACGAGCUGUUGCACCAUUUUCACGCGUUAAUUGAAUAACGAAGGUACGAAGGUACGACAGGUGUUAUGAAAAUCGUUUGAAAAACGUUUCGUUUAAAACUAAGGCUACGCACUAAUGCAUUUCGCAGCCACUGUACAGUACGAAGAAUACGAAGAAAUCUCUUGGCUGUCACGAACGUAUCGUACACCUUGUACAUGUAUUGAUGGAGAUUUUCGUGUGCAAAGCGAGGAUCGAAGAUCUCACAGAAAUCAGGUCGCAACUCGACCGUUCUCUUAGAAAAAAUGUUACACUUUCGUUAAUUUUAUAUGUUGCAUAUAUACAGGGUGUCCCGAACUUAAACGGCCAAACCGUGAAAGUUUAUUCUACAGGUAAAAAAAAAAAAAAUUGCUAUACGAAGUUUGUCGAUAGACGCUUUGUUACAGAAUUAAAAACAACAAAUGUGGCGUGCACGUUGUAAUUCUGUGACGUGAAUAAUCAUGAAAUGUAAGAAUAUAAGAAAAGAUAAUUACUUUUAAUUCUUCGUUUCAGAAUAUCGUCCUUGCGGACGGACACAUGCUUCGCAUUAACGAACAAUGGAAUUAAUUACGCUACGACGAUCCUGAGAAUUUUCCUGAAUUUCAAUAACUUUGUAUAGCAUUUUUGUUCUUCCUGCCUGUGCAUUAAUUUCCUCCUCGCUGAUCUUCACGAGCUCGAAAUAUGUUGCCUAGGUCAACACUCUGACCAUCUUUUUCCAGGUAUUACCAACAUCCUUUUCUUCUUUUCUUUCUUUUUGCUCGUAGAUCAAAGUCUCGCAGUGUGACCAUUUAAGUUCGAAACAUCUUGCAUGCACAGUCCCGCCCAUAAAUACCCCUAAAUACUAUCGAGACGUAUUUGUGGAUUUCGAACAAACGUUUCUUCACACCGUGUACACGUGUUACGUAUUAACGUUAGAACUACCACACCAACCAAAUUGACUGGUUUUAUAAUUUUAUUUUAGCAUUCCUACUUCAUGUUAUAUUUUUUUCCGCAAUGAUGUAAUGACUUUCGCAACGAUAACUAAAAGAAUAGUAUAAUGAA